CGGAAUAUAGCGCAGUCCGGUAGCGCAUCUGCCUUGGGAGCAGAGGGCCGCAAGUUCGAAUCUUGUUAUUCCAACCA
rnacentral:tRNA from 1 species